GGUUUCUCUCCCUACCCAACCUCUCGCUUUUCUCUCUGCUUCUUAGAUGCCAUGAGGGGGCCAGCUCUCCUCAGCCCAGACCUUUUCAUCAUGCUGUUCUUGCCUUGGAGCUGGCCCACUAUGGAUUGCAACCUCUACAAACUGAAUACUGAUGUCAGAGGUGCCUCUGUUGCUUGUUAGUUGUACGGUGCCAAGCUAGGAUCUUUUGCAACAUUUCAUGGACCAGAAAACAUGCUAAAGAUUGGCAAAGUUGCUCAGAGUCAUUGGACCAGAAAGAGAAGAGGCAGAACUCAAAUUCUGCUUUGGAAAUCUGAGUUCUUAAUCGUGAUGUCAUACACUUCAGUUGUAUAUGGCAAGAACUAAUAGAUGACACAAAUGAGAAAACAGAUGAACACAGCGAUGCCAAGGAGAGGAGGAAGAUACAACAGGGAAGCUGGAAGUGAAGCCAACACAGAAGACACCAGACAAGAGAUGGAGGGUGAAGUGUUCCCAUCGAAGUCAUUUCAGCGCCCAGAUCCAACAGUACCUGAUGUCAUCACUGGGCUUCCUGUCACGUCAGCCAGUACCAUUCCCUGUUGGGCUUAAGCCCAAUGGAGAUGGAUUCUCAGGAAUCUUAGUUGCAAGGUUCCUGAAGACAGAUAUCCUUUGCCUUUAUAGCAAAGAUAUCUGGCUUUUCUGUCCAUAGCACCAAGAUGUUACAUGGAAGCAGGGGCUGACAUGAAGAUUUCCCUAAGAUCACAUAAUUGA